rnacentral:lncRNA from 1 species
CCAAAGCGGGCGAUUCAUUAUAACGCCAAAAAAUCAACAGGUAUAAAGUUAUUUGUACCAAUUUACAAUUAUUAUAGAAAGUUGAAGAUGUCACAGGUGCAAGGACAAAGUUUCCUAGAUGAGAACAACAGAAGGCGUUACAUCACAACGUAAUGCAAAAAUAAUUCAUAAAGUUAUGAAGAGAAGAAAUCAGGCGAAUAAAGGAAUUUAUAAAGGACCCAGCCAAGGGGCAAAUUGUUCAAAGCCACAAGAGGGCAUACAAAAUAGUUACAAAAAGCCACAGAAGGGCGAGAACAAAAAUCAUUACAAACAAAGUCGUAUCAUUCACUGGGAGGUACAUAGGGAACAAGCUUUCCGUCAAUAAUCUGGUUCAUC